rnacentral:rRNA from 1 species
UACGAAGGGAGCUAGCGUUGUUCGGAAUUACUGGGCGUAAAGGGCGCGUAGGCGGUUUGACAAGUUGGAUGUGAAAGCCCUGGGCUCAACCCGGGAAUUGCAUUCAAGACUGUUUUACUUGAAUCCGGUAGAGGUUGGUAGAAUUCCCAGUGUAGAGGUGAAAUUCGUAGAGAUUGGGAAGAAUACCCGUGGCGAAGGCGGCCAACUGGACCGACAUUGACGCUGAGGCGCGAAAGCGUGGGGAUCAAACAGG